rnacentral:rRNA from 1 species
ACGCUGGCGGCAGGCCUAACACAUGCAAGUCGAGCGGUAGCACAGAGAGCUUGCUCUCGGGUGACGAGCGGCGGACGGGUGAGUAAUGUCUGGGAAACUGCCUGAUGGAGGGGGAUAACUACUGGAAACGGUAGCUAAUACCGCAUAACGUCGUAAGACCAAAGUGGGGGACCUUCGGGCCUCAUGCCAUCAGAUGUGCCCAGAUGGGAUUAGCUAGUAGGUGGGGUAACGGCUCACCUAGGCGACGAUCCCUAGCUGGUCUGAGAGGAUGACCAGCCACACUGGAACUGAGACACGGUCCAGACUCCUACGGGAGGCAGCAGUGGGGAAUAUUGCACAAUGGGCGCAAGCCUGAUGCAGCCAUGCCGCGUGUGUGAAGAAGGCCUUCGGGUUGUAAAGCACUUUCAGCGGGGAGGAAGGCGUUAAGGUUAAUAACCUUGGCGAUUGACGUUACCCGCAGAAGAAGCACCGGCUAACUCCGUGCCAGCAGCCGCGGUAAUACGGAGGGUGCAAGCGUUAAUCGGAAUUACUGGGCGUAAAGCGCACGCAGGCGGUCUGUCAAGUCGGAUGUGAAAUCCCCGGGCUCAACCUGGGAACUGCAUUUCGAACUGGCAGGCUAGAGUCUUGUAGAGGGGGGUAGAACUCCAGGUGUAGCGGUGAAAUGCGUAGAGAUCUGGAGGAAUACCGGUGGCGAAGGCGGCCCCCUGGACAAAGACUGACGCUCAGGUGCGAAAGCGUGGGGAGCAAACAGGAUUAGAUACCCUGGUAGUCCACGCCGUAAACGAUGUCGAUUUGGAGGUUGUGCCCUUGAGGCGUGGCUUCCGGAGCUAACGCGUUAAAUCGACCGCCUGGGGAGUACGGCCGCAAGGUUAAAACUCAAAUGAAUUGACGGGGGCCCGCACAAGCGGUGGAGCAUGUGGUUUAAUUCGAUGCAACGCGAAGAACCUUACCUGGUCUUGACAUCCACAGAACUUUCCAGAGAUGGAUUGGUGCCUUCGGGAACUGUGAGACAGGUGCUGCAUGGCUGUCGUCAGCUCGUGUUGUGAAAUGUUGGGUUAAGUCCCGCAACGAGCGCAACCCUUAUCCUUUGUUGCCAGCGGUUCGGCCGGGAACUCAAAGGAGACUGCCAGUGAUAAACUGGAGGAAGGUGGGGAUGACGUCAAGUCAUCAUGGCCCUUACGACCAGGGCUACACACGUGCUACAAUGGCAUAUACAAAGAGAAGCGACCUCGCGAGAGCAAGCGGACCUCAUAAAGUAUGUCGUAGUCCGGAUUGGAGUCUGCAACUCGACUCCAUGAAGUCGGAAUCGCUAGUAAUCGUAGAUCAGAAUGCUACGGUGAAUACGUUCCCGGGCCUUGUACACACCGCCCGUCACACCAUGGGAGUGGGUUGCAAAAGAAGUAGGUAGCUUAACCUUCGGGAGGGCGCUUACCACUUUGUGAUUCAUGA